AUGUACUUGCGCAAGGGGUUCACUUUGGUCCAACAAUGCGGGAGCGCGUCUGAGUUCCUUCGCUCCCUCGGCCUCGGCCUCGACGACCUCGCCGCCUACCCGCUCGCCCUCGGCUGCAGCGUCCGCAAGAACAUGGUCCCCGUCCUCGACUACCUCGGCAAGAUCGGCGUCCGCCGCGACGAGCUCCCGCACCUGCUCCACCGUCACCCGCAGGUGCUCCACGCCAGCAUCAUUGUCGACCUUGCGCCCGUCGUUAAGUACCUCCAGGGGAUGAACGUCAAGCCCGGCGACGUGCCGCGCGUGCUCGAGCGCUACCUCGGCUGCAUGCUCGAGGGCACCAUGAGCACCUCCGUCGCCUACCUCAUUGUAGGUGGAUGUUGGUAUGUUCUUGCGAUUCAGCGUGUUGCCUCCUGCCUACAAUCGGAAUGCGAGAUAAACAACAACUGCAAUUUGAUGUUACUGGCUUGCUCCAAGGAGAUGUGCUUUCACUUCCCUUGGUCAUCAGACAUGACUGCAUUAGCAUGCGAUACGAACUUAACUUCUUUCAGUCAACAAAAUGUGCCGGCCUGUCUAAGUGGCAAUGGCGCCUUUGCUUAUGGGAUCUACAAGGGAGCCCUUCCUGUUAUCUCCAGCAAUUCACUUGCUGUCAAAAUCCUCUAUCCCAUAUUCUGGGGUCUCAUGACCCUCAGUUCGUCUGAAUCUAUUGGCAGUAUUUUUGGCAAUGAUCUUGAGCCGACGAGCAAUUGGCUUGAGGUGAUAUUCAGCAUCAUCAAUGUACUCAGUGGGCUGAUGCUCUUCACGCUACUGAUCGGAAACAUACAGGUAUUCUUGCACGCCGUGCUGGCGAGGAAGCGGAAGAUGCAGCUGCGGUUCCCGGACAUGGAGUGGUGGAUGAGGCGGCGGCAGCUGCCGUCCCGGCUGCGGCAGCGGGUCCGCAAGUACGAGCGCGAGCGGUGGGCGGCCAUCACCGGCGACGAGGAGAUGGAGAUGAUCAAGGACCUGCCGGAGGGCCUCCGGCGGGACAUCAAGCGGUACCUCUGCCUGGAGCUGGUGAAGCAGGUGCCCCUGUUCCACGGCAUGGACGAGUUGAUCCUGGACAACAUCUGCGACCGGCUGCGCCCCCUGGUGUUCUGCGGCGGCGAGAAGGUGAUCCGGGAGGGCGACCCGGUGCAGCGCAUGGAGCAUCCUGAGCGACGAGCUGCUGUCGUGGUGCCUGCGGCGGCCGUUCAUGGACCGGCUGCCGGCGUCGUCCGCCACGUUCGAGUGCUGGAGGCCGCGCAUGCCUUCUGCCUCGACGCGCCGGACCUGCGGUACAUCACCGAGCACUUCCGGUACAAGUUCGCCAACGACAAGCUCAAGCGCACCGCGCGCUACUACUCGUCCAACUGGCGGACGUGGGCGGCCGUCAACGUGCAGCUCGCGUGGCGGCGGUACAGGGCGAGGGUGAUGGCGACGGCGGUGCUCCCGCCGCCGCCGGCCGGCGCGGCAGGGCCCGAGGACGGGGACCGCCGGCUGCGCCAUUACGCGGCCAUGUUCAUGUCGCUCAGGCCGCACGACCACCUCGAGUAG
rnacentral:rRNA from 1 species